GAUGAACGCUGGCGGCGUGCCUAAUACAUGCAAGUCGAGCGAACAGACGAGGAUCUUGCUCCUCUGACGUUAGCGGCGGACGGGUGAGUCACACGUGGAUAACCUACCUAUAAGACUGGGAUAACUUCGGGAAACCGGAUCUAACACCGGAUAAUAUAUUGAACCUCAUGGUUCAAUAGUGAAAGACGGUUUUGCUGUCACUUAUAGAGGGAUCCGCGCCGCAUUAGCUAGUUGGUAAGGUAACGGCUUACCAAGGCGACGAUGCGUAGCCGACCUGAGAGGGUGAUCGGCCACACUGGAACUGAGACACGGUCCAGACUCCUACGGGAGGCAGCAGUAGGGAAUCUUCCGCAAUGGGCGAAAGCCUGACGGAGCAACGCCGCGUGUGUGAUGAAGGUCUUCGGAUCGUAAAGCUCUGUUAUUAGGGAAGAACAGCUGUGUAAGUAACUAUGCACGUCUUGACGGUACCUACUCAGAAAGCACCGGCUAACUACGUG
rnacentral:rRNA from 1 species